GCCCGAGUAGCUCAAUGGUAGAGCGACUGGCUGUUAACCAGUAGGUUGCAGGUCCGAUUCCCGCCUCGGGCG
rnacentral:tRNA from 3 species